rnacentral:rRNA from 1 species
GAUGAACGCUGGCGGCGUGCCUAAUACAUGCAAGUCGAGCGAACAGACGAGGAGCUUGCUCCUCUGACGUUAGCGGCGGACGGGUGAGUAACACGUGGAUAACCUACCUAUAAGACUGGGAUAACUUCGGGAAACCGGAGCUAAUACCGGAUAAUAUAUUGAACCGCAUGGUUCAAUAGUGAAAGACGGUUUUGCUGUCACUUAUAGAUGGAUCCGCGCGGCAUUAGCUAGUUGGUAAGGUAACGGCUUACCAAGGCAACGAUGCGUAGCCGACCUGAGAGGGGGAUCGGCCACACUGGAACUGAGACACGGUCCAGACUCCUACGGGAGGCAGCAGUAGGGAAUCUUCCGCAAUGGGCGAAAGCCUGACGGAGCAACGCCGCGUGAGUGAUGAAGGUCUUCGGAUCGUAAAACUCUGUUAUUAGGGAAGAACAAAUGUGUAAGUAACUAUGCACGUCUUGACGGUACCUAAUCAGAAAGCCACGGCUAACUACGUG